UACGUAGGGCGCAAGCGUUGUCCGGAAUUAUUGGGCGUAAAGAGCUCGUAGGCGGUUUGUCGCGUCUGCUGUGAAAUCCCGAGGCUCAACCUCGGGCUUGCAGUGGGUACGGGCAGACUAGAGUUCGGUAGGGGAGACUGGAAUUCCUGGUGUAGCGGUGAAAUGCGCAGAUAUCAGGAGGAACACCGGUGGCGAAGGCGGGUCUCUGGGCCGAUACUGACGCUGGAGGAGCGAAAGCGUGGGGAGCGAACAGG
rnacentral:rRNA from 1 species